rnacentral:piRNA from 1 species
AAACAACAAAAAGAUAACGCCUGACAGA